GGUUUGGUUUUGAUUGCAAGAAUGAUGAUUAUAAGGUGUUGAGAAUUGGCUGUUCUGAUCCUGAUGAAGAAUUUUUGGAUGCUAGUAUUUACUCAUUAGCUUCAAAUUCAUGGAAGGAACUUGUUUCCAUUUCUUAUUAUUUCCCUAAUGGUACAAAUAAGGGGUUUCUACUUAAUGGUGUUCUUCAUUGGGUUGUAUCUAGUGUUCUUCUUUGUUUUGAUAUUUCUGAUGAGGUGCCAUUACCUUACAACGGUUCAGAUGGGUCCAGGACCCUUCCAUAUUAGAUUUGGACGUUUGGGAAGGGAAACUUUGUCUAUUUUAAAAUAAUCACAUGGAUAACAAGUGGACGUGUACGCAUCAAAAUGAUCACAUCGAUGUGUGGACGAUGAUGGAUAACAAGUGGAUUAAGCAUUUAAAGAUUACUGCACAUAUGACAGACAUGUACUAUGGAAGGCCAAUUCAAACUUUGCAAAAUGGUGAGAUCCUUAUUGAUGGCGGACCAAGGGACAAAGAAGAGGGCAUUUCAUUGAUUUCAUAUGACCCCAAGCUUGAAAGAGUCAGAGCUCUGAUGAUACAUGGUGAUCCAGCCGAAUCUGAAGUGGAUACUUAUAUUGAGACCUUAGUACCACUAAACUCUGGUACCUAUGUUAAUAAAACAAGAAAGAAAACAAAAAAGCAAAGAAGUAAAACAAGAAAGAAAAGAAACAGAUACUGACGACUGAUGGAGAUCUAGAUUUAUGAACCAACAAAGUAAGGGCGUAGACAAGAGGGAAGAAGAUAUGGUAGAAAGGAAUCGUGUCAGUCUUUCUUAUGUUUUUGCGCUAAAGAAAUGAAGGGGAAAAUGGUUCAUUGCGAGAGAUGAUUUGUUUUAUGUAGCAGUGGAGUAUCCAAGAAUGAAGAUAUCUGGCGCAUGACGGCUAUAUAAGUUAUAACGGCAUUUGGAUUGGAAUGAAUGUGGAAAUCCAAGCAUCAGAUAUUUUCUUUGCAACUCGACUAGUAGUUUCAUAAGGUGGUCUGAUCAUUUCGAGCAGGCGCGUUCGUCAACUUUAGUUAAAACUAGACUUGCAGUGGACCUUGACAACCCAAUUCUGUUAAUUGCUGUCAAAGCCUUUUCACCAUUAAAGCUUGGAGGAUAAUAAGGUCUUAUAUGAUGUUGGAUUCCCUCGACCACUCUGUAACCAAUUUGCUAAAAACACCUCUAAUUCGAUACGAUUUGGAUAUGCUGAAGGGUGCUUGCCUAUGCCUAGAUGGGAUGAGCUGAACAUUUUCUUCGAAAAGGCUGGGGUGUCGAUUAUUUUUGGGUUGAACGCACUCAAUGGAAAGGACUGUUACACGCGAUCAUUCUGCAGCAGGGCCUUGGGAUUCAUAAAUUCUGCCGCUCUUAGUCGACAAGAACUACGCCAUCUCUGGUUGGAAACUUGAUAAAUGAACUGAGUGGGAAUGGAAUUGGAGGAAGGUUACAGCAGCGCAGUAUGCUUCUGAUGUGAUUGUGCAAAAUAUCGUCGUGCAAGCUAUUUACAAUGGUUCCAAAGUUCCAAACCAAGUGGAGACCAGAUCUUUUCAUUGAGUAUGUCAUUUCAUCCGAUAGAUGGGGAGACCAUAUCUUACCAUGGAGAUGUUGCAAAGAGAAUUGCAUCAAUGGAGGCGAUUCAGAUUUCAGGCAAUAAACCAAGGUACAUGCAGGUUCAGUAGUUACAUCUUUUCUGUAUUAUUUUGAUGAUAUAGAUAUUGUACUUCAGAGUUCACAAAUGUUUACUUGGUUCUUGGUGAAAGGUUGUAAACAUGAAUCCGGUAUGUCAGAUAUUGUACUUCAGAGUUCACAGUGUUCUCCUUUUGAAAUUUGAUUGUGUGAA